GACGAACGCUGGCGGCGUGCUUAACACAUGCAAGUCGAACGAAGUGGCGAACGGGUGAGUAACGCGUAAUCAACCUGCCCUUCAGAGGGGGACAACAGUUGGAAACAACCGCUAAUACCGCAUACUGAAGGCGGGGAUUGCGUCUGAUUAGCUAGUUGGAGGGGUUACGGCCCAAAAAGGCGAUGAACAGUAGCCGGUCUGAGAGGAUGAACGGCCACAUUGGGAUUGAGACACGGCCCAGACUCAUACGGGAGGCAGCAGUGGGGAAUCUUCCGAAAUGGACGAAAGUCUGACGGUGCAACGCCGCGUGAGUGAUGACGGCCUUCGGGUUGUAAAGCUCUGUUAAUCAGGACGCGGUACCGGAAUAGAAAGCCACGGCUAACUACGUGCCAGCAGCCGCGGUAAUUC
rnacentral:rRNA from 1 species